AACGAACGUUAGCGGCGCGCUUAAUACAUGCAAGUCGUGCGAGAAAGGGCUUCGGCCCCAGUAAAGCGGCGCACGGGUGAGUAACACGUGGGUACGUACCCCUGGGUGGUGGAUAACUCUCCGAAAGGAGGGCUAAUACAGCAUGAAACCACUUGUGGUCAAAGUGGGCCUCUCAAUUGAAGCUCGCGCCUGGGGAUCGGCUCGCGGCCCAUCAGCUUGUUGGUAGGGUAAUGGCUUACCAAGGCUAAGACGGGUAGCUGGUCUGAGAGGAUGAGCAGCCACACUGGAACUGAGACACGGUCCAGACUCCUACGGGAGGCAGCAGUAGGGAAUCUUGCGCAAUGGGCGAAAGCCUGACGCAGCGACGCCGCGUGAGCGAUGAAGGCCUUCGGGUUGUAAAGCUCUGUGGGGAGAGAAGAAUAAGGUUCGGUUAAUAGCCGGAGCGAUGACGGUAUCUCCUUAGCAAGCACCGGCUAACUCUG
rnacentral:rRNA from 1 species